rnacentral:tRNA from 1 species
GAAACUUAGGAUUACACAAACCGAAG